UACGUAGGGUGCGAGCGUUGUCCGGAAUUAUUGGGCGUAAAGAGCUCGUAGGCGGUUUGUCACGUCUGCUGUGAAAUCCCGAGGCUCAACCUCGGGCCUGCAGUGGGUACGGGCAGACUGGAGUGCGGUAGGGGAGAUUGGAAUUCCUGGUGUAGCGGUGGAAUGCGCAGAUAUCAGGAGGAACACCAAUGGCGAAGGCAGAUCUCUGGGCCGUAACUGACACUCAGGGACGAAAGCUAGGGGAGCGAAUGGG
rnacentral:rRNA from 1 species